UACGGAGGGGACUAGCGUUGUUCGGAAUUACUGGGCGUAAAAGCGCACGUAGGCGGAUUUGUAAGUUAGGGGUGAAAUCCCGGGGCUCAACCUCGGAACUGCCUUUGAUACUGCAAAUCUCGAGUCCGGAAGAGGUGAGUGGAAUUCCUAGUGUAGAGGUGAAAUUCGUAGAUAUUAGGAAGAAACACCAGUGGCGAAGGCGGCUCACUGGUCCGGUACUGACGCUGAGGUGCGAAAAGCGUGGGGAGCAAACAGGG
rnacentral:rRNA from 1 species